rnacentral:rRNA from 1 species
AUAUUGGUCAAUGGGCGGAAGCCUGAACCAGCCAUGCCGCGUGCGGGAAGGAGGCCCUAUGGGCUGUGAACCGCUUUUGCCUGGGGGCAAUAAGGGCGUCGCGCACGUCCGAUGAGAGUACCAGGCGAAUAAGCAUCGGCUAACUCCGUGCCAGCAGCCGCGGUAAUACGGGGGAUGCGAGCGUUAUCCGGAUUCAUUGGGUUUAAAGGGUGCGUAGGCUGUGCGUCAAGUCGGGGGUGAAAUUCCGGUGCUCAACACCGGGGCUGCCCUUGAUACUGUCGCGCUGGAGUGCGGAUGCCGCCGGAGGAAUGAGUGGUGUAGCGAUGAAAUGCUUAGAUAUCACUCAGAACACCGAUUGCGAAGGCAUCUGGCGAAUCCGUAACUGACGCUGAGGCACGAAAGCGUGGGGAUAGGACAGGAUUAGAUACCCUGGUAUUCCACGCCGUAAACGAUGAUGGCUAACCGCCGGCGACACACUGUCGGUGGCCAAGCGAAAGCGAUAAGCCAUCCACCUGGGGAGUACGUCGGCAACGAUGAAACUCAAAGGAAUUGACGGGGGCCCGCACAAGCGGAGGAACAUGUGGUUUAAUUCGAUGAUACGCGAGGAACCUUACCCGGGCUCGAACGGCACCUGGAUCACCCAGAGAUGGUUGAGUCUUCGGACAGGUGUCGAGGUGCUGCAUGGUUGUCGUCAGCUCGUGCCGUGAGGUGUCGGCUCAAGUGCCAUAACGAGCGCAACCCUUGCCGCCAGUUGCCAUCAGGUGAUGCUGGGCACUCUGGCGGGACUGCCACCGCAAGGUGUGAGGAGGGGGGGGAUGACGUCAAAUCAGCACGGCCCUUACGUCCGGGGCGACACACGUGUUACAAUGGCGGCCACAGAGGGAAGCUACCCCGCGAGGGGAUGCGGAUCUCGAAAAGCCGUCCCAGUUCGGACUGGAGUCUGCAACCCGACUCCACGAAGUUGGAUUCGCUAGUAAUCGCGCAUCAGCCAUGGCGCGGUGAAUACGUUCCC